rnacentral:rRNA from 1 species
GACGAACGCUGGCGGCGUGCUUAACACAUGCAAGUCGAACGAUGAAGCCGGAGCUUGCUCUGGUGGAUUAGUGGCGAACGGGUGAGUAACACGUGAGUAACCUGCCCUUGACUCUGGGAUAAGCGUUGGAAACGACGUCUAAUACCGGAUACGAGCUAGGACCGCAUGGUCACUAGCUGGAAAGAACUUCGGUCAAGGAUGGACUCGCGGCCUAUCAGUUAGCUGGUGAGGUAACGGCUCACCAAGACGACGACGGGUAGCCGGCCUGAGAGGGUGACCGGCCACACUGGGACUGAGACACGGCCCAGACUCCUACGGGAGGCAGCAGUGGGGAAUAUUGCACAAUGGGCGCAAGCCUGAUGCAGCAACGCCGCGUGAGGGACGACGGCCUUCGGGUUGUAAACCUCUUUUAGCAGGGAAGAAGCGCAAGUGACGGUACCUGCAGAAAAAGCACCGGCUAACUACGUGCCAGCCGCCGCAGUAAAAC